UGCAUGUCUCAGUGCAAGCCACAUUAAGAUGAAACCGCGAAUGGCUCAUUAAAUCAGUUAUGGUUCCUUAGAUUGUACCCACAUUACUUGGAUAACUGUGGUAAUUCUAGAGCUAAUACAUGCAAACAGAGCCCUGACCAGAAAUGGAAAGGGCGCUUUUAUUAGAUCAAAACCAAUCGGUCGGCUCGUCCGGUCCGUUUGCCUUGGUGACUCUGAAUAACUUUUUUCUGAUCGCAUGGUCUUCGUACCGGCGACGCAUCUUUCAAAUGUCUGCCUUAUCAACUUACGAUGGUAGGUUCUGCGCCUACCAUGGUUGUAACGGGUAACGGGGAAUCAGGGUUCGAUUCCGGAGAGGGAGCCUGAGAAACGGCUACCACAUCCAAGGAAGGCAGCAGGCGCGCAAAUUACCCACUCCCGGCACGGGGAGGUAGUGACGAAAAAUAACGAUACGGGACUCAUCCGAGGCCCCGUAAUCGGAAUGAGGACACUUUAAAUCCUUUAACGAGUAUCC
rnacentral:rRNA from 1 species